CACGUAGGGGGCGAGCGUUGUCCGGAUUUAUUGGGCGUAAAGAGCUCGUAGGCGGUUCGGCAAGUCGGGUGUGAAAUUUCGAGGCUCAACCUCGAAACGCCACUCGAUACUGCUGUGACUGGAGUCCGGUAGAGGAGUGCGGAAUUCCUGGUGUAGCGGUGAAAUGCGCAGAUAUCGGGAGGAACACCGAUUGCGAAGGCAGCUCGCUGGGACGUAACUGACGCUGAGACGCGAAAGCGUGGGGAGCGAACAGG
rnacentral:rRNA from 1 species